GGGUCAGUAGGUUGGUCGUGCCACCGGUACGUACUGGUCUCACUGAUUCCUCCUUCCUGAAGAACCGUAAUGCCAUUAAUUUGGUGUUGCGGGGAAACAGGACUGUUACCUUGAAAAAAUUAGAGUGCUUAAAGCAAGCUAACGCUUGAAUACAUUAGCAUGGAAUAAUGAAAUAGGACGAUCGAUCCUAUUUUGUUGGUUUCUAGGAUUGACGUA
rnacentral:rRNA from 1 species